rnacentral:rRNA from 1 species
UACGUAGGGUCCGAGCGUUGUCCGGAAUUACUGGGCGUAAAGAGCUCGUAGGUGGUUUGUCGCGUUGUUCGUGAAAACUCACAGCUCAACUGUGGGCGUGCGGGCGAUACGGGCAGACUUGAGUACUGCAGGGGAGACUGGAAUUCCUGGUGUAGCGGUGGAAUGCGCAGAUAUCAGGAGGAACACCGGUGGCGAAGGCGGGUCUCUGGGAAGUAACUGACGCUGAGGAGCGAAAGCGUGGGGAGCAAACAGG